CUUGGUCAUUUAGAGGAAGUAAAAGUCGUAACAAGGUUUCCGUAGGUGAACCUGCGGAAGGAUCAUUAUUGAAAUUAUAGGUGAGGGUUGUAGCUGGCCUCUCGGGGCAUGUGCACGCCCGAGCCCUUAAAUCCCACACACACCUGUGAACCUAUUGUAAGGGCCCGUAAAAAAGGCCUUUACGUCUUUAUCACCUACCCAAAGUCUCAUAGAAUGUAAACAUUAUGUCCUCGCCUUAAAAAAGCGUUGAUAAAAAUUAUACAACUUUCAACAACGGAUCUCUUGGCUCUCGCAUCGAUGAAGAACGCAGCGAAAUGCGAUAAGUAAUGUGAAUUGCAGAUUUUCAGUGAAUCAUCGAAUCUUUGAACGCACCUUGCGCUCCUUGGUAUUCCGAGGAGCAUGCCUGUUUGAGUGUCAUCAAAUUCUCAAACUCUGAUUGAUUUGUUUCAAUCGGAGCUUUGGAUUUGGAGCGUGCCGGCGUCAAGUCGGCUCCUCUUGAAUGCAUCAGCGGAAUCUAACGUUUCGGACGUCAGUGUGAUAAUCAUGUUGCGCUGUCUGUCUGAUCUGAAAGCCCGCUCACAAUGGUCUUCGGACAACUUCAUAUCAAAUUUGACCUCAAAUCAGGUAGGACUACCCGCUGAACUUAAGCAUAUCAAUAAGCGGAGGA
rnacentral:rRNA from 1 species